ACUUAAUUAAAAUAUUCAAGUUAAUAUUUAAUAAUAGUCAUUAUAUACAAACUGCUUUAACUACUUAUCUUACUUUUAUAUAUAAACAUGUUAAAAGCUAUUUAAAAAAUAUAAAAUCGUUUUUAACGUUUUUAGAGGAUAAUAAUAAUAACAAUAAUAUAAAUAAAAUUAACCAAAUAAAUAAAAAUGAGUUCAAUUGGAGUCCUACUUUAAGUUAUAAUAGUAUCGGUUUUAUCUUAUCAGAAUUUUUAUCAUUACUUCAAAUUUUAAAAACAAAAUAUAAAAUAACAAAUUUUAUUAACAAAGAUAAUAACCAGUUUAUAGUACCUCAAGAUUUGGGACAUAUACCUACAUGGAUUUUUACCAAAUUAUUGGGUUCUUCACAUAAUUAUUAUUAUGAGUAUUCACAUGCACAUACAGGUAACAUAUUUGGGGGUUCUUAUAUACCACCGCUAGUUUUAUUAUUCCUUAUGUUUAGUUUGUCAUGUUUGUUUAACCGUGCCACCUUUUUAUCUUGUUUUAAUUGUUUAUUCGUUAUGUUUUUCUUACUUACCAUUUUUAUUAUGCUCAUUUUUACUUCGUCUCAGGAUGUAAUAAAAAAUCUCACGGAACAAAAACUAAACAGAACAAAAUAUAUAAUACCCCCGAUUGCAUGAUUGAUGAAAGUGAAAACACCAAAAAUUAUAACAAUAUUAAUAUUGAUAAUAAUAGUAAUGAUAAUAAAACAUAUAAUCAUGGAGAUGAUAAUAUGACUAGUGAUGAUGCUACAUGUUACAAUAGUAAUAGUGGCAGCAAUAGUGGCAGUGAUAGUGGUAGUAAUAGUGGCAGUAUUAGUGACAGUAGUAGUGACAGUAGUAGUGACAGUAGUAGUGACAGUAGUAGUGACAGUAGUAGUAGUAGCGAUGCCGAAAAUGAUGAAAUUUCGAUUUAUUUGUAUGACAAUAGUAACAGCCACAGUGACUAUGGAAAAGACAAAGUCGACAAAAACGACAAAAACGACAAAAACGACAAAAACGACAAUUGUAAUAAUCAUACCGAAUCUAAUGAAAAAACAAAUAAACUACAUGAAAUCGGAACAGCUAAUAAAAACAUGUUGAAAAAAAAAAGAAAACAAGAAAAGCUAGAGUUACAGAUAUAUCAAAAAGAAAACACUCAAAAAAUUAUUCAUGAUAUUAAUUGUAUAAAUGGUUUUAUAAAAACAUUAUCAGAAAUAAUUAUUAAUACUCAAAAAACAUUUGAAGAGUUUUUCGUUAAUAAAAUGUUUGACAUUUGUUCUGGCUUUUUGAUUUAUUUGCAUUCAUUGUUAGCUAUUUACAAAAUGACGAACAAAAGAAUGCCAGAAAAACCAAGUGAACAUGUAGACAAAAUCAUUCUUCCGUUAAUAUCUUUUAAGGAAUUUUAUGAAGAUAUUAUUCAAAAUGUAUAAAAACGAAUAGAUAAGCUAACAAACAAAUGCAUAGAUAAAUAAUUAAAUAAAAUUAGUAGUGUAUAAGUACUUAUAUAUAUA
rnacentral:lncRNA from 1 species